GAGCUUGCUUCUUCGAUCGAGUGGCGAACGGGUGAGUAACGCGUGAGGAACCUGCCUCAAAGAGGGGGACAACAGUUGGAAACGACUGCUAAUACCGCAUAAGCCCACGGGUCGGCAUCGACCAGAGGGAAAAGGAGCAAUCCGCUUUGAGAUGGCCUCGCGUCCGAUUAGCUAGUUGGUGAGGUAAUGGCCCACCAAGGCGACGAUCGGUAGCCGGACUGAGAGGUUGAACGGCCACAUUGGGACUGAGACACGGCCCAGACUCCUACGGGAGGCAGCAGUGGGGAAUAUUGCACAAUGGGGGAAACCCUGAUGCAGCGACGCCGCGUGGAGGAAGAAGGUCUUCGGAUUGUAAACUCCUGUUGUUGAGGAAGAGAAUGACGGUACUCAACAAGGAAGUGACGGCUAACUACGUGCCAGCAGCCGCGGUAAAACGUAUGUCACAAGCGUUGUCCGGAAUUACUGGGUGUAAAGGGAGCGCAGCGGGAAGACAAGUUAGAAGUGAAAUCCAUGGGCUCAACCCAUGAACUGCUUUCAAAACUGUUUCUCUUGAGUAGUGCAGAGGUAGGCGGAAUUCCCCGGUGUAGCGGUGGAAUGCGUAGAUAUCGGGAGGAACACCAGUGGCGAAGGCGGCCUACUGGGCACCAACUGACGCUGAGGCUCGAAAG
rnacentral:rRNA from 1 species